UACGUAGGGUGCAAGCGUUAAUCGGAAUUACUGGGCGUAAAGCGUGCGCAGGCGGUUCGCUAAGACCGAUGUGAAAUCCCCGGGCUUAACCUGGGAACUGCAUUGGUGACUGGCGGGCUAGAGUAUGGCAGAGGGGGGUAGAAUUCCACGUGUAGCAGUGAGAUGCGUAGAGAUGUGGAGGAAUACCGAUGGCGAAGGCAGCCCCCUGGGCCAAUACUGACGCUCAUGCACGAAAGCGUGGGGAGCAAACAGG
rnacentral:rRNA from 1 species